AGGAGAGAUAAUGGACUAUUGUAGAGUUUGAGCUGUUUGGCUUAUUGUUUCUGGGAUGUUUGGGGAGUUACAUCUGGCACAAAAUUAUGGAAUGGAGAAAGGAGAGAAUGAAGAGGAGAGAGCCUGACCCUGAGAAUCCAGCAGAAGAUCCAGUGAAAAAUUAUUUCGAGGAUCCAUUUUACGAGAUUAAGGAGGAAGAAAUUAUUGAUUGGGUCUAUUCAGUGGCGGAGUGAGGAAGAAACACCAGGAGAAGAUUCCAUCUAUCUUACAGUAUUAUGCCACUUAAAACGAUUACAUAAAAUCAUAAAAUAAAAAUAAAAUGAAAAAAAUC